AGCAACGCUGUGCACAUUCCACCCCGAGUUAAAUAGGACUUUUCUGAAAAUGCAGGUGUGGGUGAUUGCAGGGUAGAGCUCACAACAAAGGGAUUAGGUGUGCAGAGGGUGAUGUGGGAGCGAAAGGCGGGAGGCUGGGACCAGCCGCUGUGAUGGGGAGCCAGGGGAAGCCCUGACUCUCUACAGGCUCUGCUGUGAGAAAGCUGCAGGCGAGGGAGAGGCUGGAUGAGGCUGAGCUUUGGGCUGGAGAAGCCCACCCUUCCUCAAGCCUGUUCCCAGACCCCGGAGCGGCAGCCAAGGCUUCCCAGUGAAGUUCAGUGGCGUGCCGCUUCUGCAGGGGCACCGCGCGUCCAGCGCUAGGAUGGGUAAAUUCGGGAUGCUCACCUCCAAAUAGCAAGGCAAGUGCAAAUUCUGAAGGCCUGGGCUGCCGUCCCUGGGGCUGGUGGCUGGGGAAGGGGCUGCUCUCCUUCCCAUCGCACCAGGCUGUUAGCAUGCCCGGUCUGAAGACCUGUGCUGGUUAAAAGGCUGGUGCGGCAUGGCCAGCGGCCUGGCGGUGGUACAGUCCAGGAGGGUAAUGGGUAUUGGAUUGCUCCCUUAGGUCUGUUCUUGAACCUAAUCCUCAUUAGACUGAAACCCAUUUCAAUUAAGACAGGCUGGGCUCCUCCUUUGUCUUUCUUUUAAUUGGACCGUUCCCGCUGCUAAAUGGGCAGCUUAAGCAUCCCAAAGACCCUGAGAAAAGCCCGGCAUGUCCCCUAAUGGGGUUUGAAAGUGGAGAAAUAACAGCAUAAUCAGUCUCUUCCUCUUUGUGUCAGCCCUUGAUUCACACCGCCUGCCCCCCUCCCCUUCACACCCUUUCACUGAGUGGCUGCUGACAGAUGGGAACAGGACCGCCAUGUCAAUGGGGUUUGUCGGGGGCUUUCAUGGGCCCUGUUGCCAUUCUCUGUCCUUCUUCUUCGUCUACUCUUGGCCUUUGUGCCAAGACUGGGAACAAGCUGGGAAAGCUGAGCCGGUCCUGUAAAUACCUGCCUCCGCUGGAUCAGCUUAGGGCUUAAAGGACAAGACGGGGAAUACUUGGCAUAGCUCUUUAUCCCUUCCUCUGCUUGCCUUACUUUCCCUCCUUCAUCCUCUCUUGUUCCUUUUUUUUAGUAUUUAUAUACCCUGUUUUUCUCUCCCGUGCUCUUUGUAUCUAUCUAUUUUCCCUGCCCCUUUUUCCUCCAGCGGCCUUCCGUUGUCUCCCUCCGCUCUUAUUCUCCUUCCAGUGACCUCUUUGGUGGCCGUCACCGGUCGGAUUUUGCGUCACCCAGACCUCUCCUCCCAGGCUCCUGUGCAUCACCGGGAGCUUGCAGAAGAUGCGUGACCUGCUUCCAGGGGACCCGAAAUUGAGCCCUGCCUGCCCAGAAGAGCUCCUUCCAAAGAAGAAACCAGAAGGAGGGAGACAUAAUGACCAGGCUCAGCACUGGCCUCGCUGCCGCUUGCCAGCUCAAGCGUGAAGGGCCUGUGGAAAUGAAAGAGCUUUUUACAAGGGCUCCGUGGGAACGUGACCUGAAGAAAUCUGUGACCGCUGGAAGCAGAGGGACAGGGGAUGCAGGCUGCAUCCCGGCAAGCUACAGCUCCGGUCCUGCCUCCCAGCAUCCUCAACGUCUCCCAUUAAAGGAGGGCUCCCGAGAGCUGCGUGUCUUUGUGGUGUCUGUCCACUUAUCUGCGUGGGGAUGCUGGCUCCAGCCUGCAGCAGGACGGCUGCUGCUGCCGUCCCAGCUCUCCCGCAGCCCUCGGCACCCAACGUUCUCAGCUGGGU